rnacentral:sRNA from 1 species
GCUGGGUGUGGUGGUGCAUGCUUGUAAUCCAAGCUACUUGGGAGGUUGAGGCAGGAGGAUCUCAAGUUCAAGGCCAGCCUGGGCAACUUAGUUAGACCCUAUCUCGA